CUCGCUCUGUCGCCCAGGCUGGAGUGCAGUAUCGCGAUAUCGGUUCGCUGCAAGCUCCGCCUCCCGGGGUCACGUCAUUCUCCUGCCUCAGCUUCCGGAGCAGCUGGGACUGCUGGCGCCCGCCACUACGCUCGGCUAAUUUUUUUGUGUUUUUAGUAGAGACGGGCUUUCACCGUGUUGGCCUAGCGGUUCUCCAACUCCUGACCUCAUGAUCCCCCCGCCUCAGCCUCCCAAAGUGCUGGGAUUACAAGCGUGAGCCACCGCGACCCGCCAACACUCUUGACAACAGUGCUGUGCUAAGAACUUGGGGGACUUCAAAAAGUUCACCAGUUCCUGUGUCCAUGGGUGAAAAGAUUUUCUACAUCUUUCCUUGACUAGAAACAGAAGUCCUGAAACAAGGUACACCUUCUUGAGGCUUACUUGGUGAGUCUAAUUUGUCUUCUGGCACCACUGUGAAUUUGAAGGCUUACGUCUUCUUCCCUGAUCAUAUGUUUUCUACAUGUCAGGAAUAUAACGUCAGGAGGCCAGAGGCUUUGUCCUGCCUAAUGUGUUAUUUCCACACUGAAUAAAAGCACCUGAGUCCUGCAUUUUAAAAAGGUUGUACAUCUAGCAAUACCUAACAAAAUAGGAAAUCAACUUGGAAAGCCAAUGGCUGUGUUUUGAGUUUAUGGAGAGCCAUAUGUGGCAAGGAACUGAGGGUGGCAUCCAGGCAACAGACUUCAAGAAACUGAGGCUGUCAGUCCAACAACCCACAAGAACUGAAUCUGACCAACAAUCACAGGAACAAACUUAGAAGUAUACUCUUUCCCAGACAAACCUUCAGAUGAGACCACAGCCCCAGCCAUAAGCUUGAAAACAAUCUCAUGAGGGACCUUGAGCCACAGGCAUGUAGUAAAGCUAUGCCAGGAAUCCUGCCUGCCCCACAGAAAAUGUAAAAAAAAUAAAUUUUUAUUGUUUUAAGCCACGAAGUUUUGAAGUAAUUUGAUAUAAAAC
rnacentral:lncRNA from 10 species